rnacentral:rRNA from 1 species
CUACCGGAAACGGUAGCUAAUACCGAAUACUUGUUUUCUUCGCCUGAAGAGAACUGGAAAGACGGAGCAAUCUGUCACUUGAGGAUGGGCCUGCGGCGCAUUAGCUAGUUGGUGAGGUAACGGCUCACCAAGGCGACGAUGCGUAGCCGACCUGAGAGGGUGAUCGGCCACGCUGGGACUGAGACACGGCCCAUACUCCUACGGGAGGCAGCAGUAAGGAAUCUUCCGCAAUGGGCGAAAGCCUGACGGAGCAAUGCCGCGUGAGUGAUGAAGGUUUUCGGAUCGUAAAGCUCUGUUGCCAGGGAAGAACGCUCAGGAGAGUAACUGCUCCUGAGGUGACGGUACCUGAGAAGAAAGCCCCGGCUAACUACGUGCCAGCAGCCGCGGUAAUACGUAGGGGGCAAGCGUUGUCCGGAAUUAUUGGGCGUAAAGCGCGCGCAGGCGGUCAUUUAAGUCUGGUGUUUAAUCCCGGGGCUCAACCCCGGAUCGCACUGGAAACUGGGUGACUUGAGUGCAGAAGAGGAGAGUGGAUUCCACGUGUAGCGGUAAAUGCGUAGAGAUGUGGAGGACACCAGUGGCGAAGCGACUCUCUGGCUGUACUGAGCUGAGCGCGAAGCGUGGGGAGAAACAGGAUAAAUCCCUGGUCUCACCCCGUCACGAUGAUGCAGGUGUAGGGGUUCGAUCCCUUGGUGCGAAAUUACACAUUAACAUUCCCCGGGGAAUACGGCGCAGACUGAACUCAAAGAAUUGCGGGACCCCACAGCGGGGAUAUGUGUUUAUUCGAACACGCGAAAACUUACAGG